AAGUGGCGCUUUUACCCUUCUGUUUCCUCUCAAUUACAGUUUGCCAUUGCUUUUUUGCAUGCUGGUUGGUUUCCGCGAGGUCAAGAAGGAUCGAGAGAGCUCGAGCGAUUGCAGCUGUGUUUCUUUGCUUUUUUUGAAAAAAGGAGAUAUUCAGGAUCGAGGACACAGGAAGAAGAAGAAGAGGGGAAAGAAGCGGAACAGAGGGAGAGAAGAAGAAAGGAGGAGGAUAAGGAAAUAAGAAGACCCUCUUGGGUUCGGGAAGGCUCGAUCAGACGUAGCGAUAACAAGUGCAUCCAUCAACCUCUCGGAUACGAACGUUGGGCUGAUAACAAACUGGUGGGGUAGGAAAAAGUAGAGGAAAUAUCCAAGGUUUUUGGUUGCUGCUAGAAAAGAUCCAAGUAGAGGAAGCUUUCAAUAGAAGAAGAGGAGUAUUUCGAUUGUUCUUCUGCCAUUGUUCCUGUAUCUGUUGUUUUGUAUUGGUCUGGUGUUCUAUUGUUAUUCAGAUAUCAGAAACAGUGAGCUGUCGAAAUUUCCAGGUUUUUUCAAUUCAGUGAUGGCACCGAAGGCUGUAUCAAGAGGAACAAAAAGAAUGUUAGGAUAUGGUGAUGUUGAGGGCCAUGAUCAUCAAGAGAAAAUUCAGCAAACCUGCAGUACUCAAAACUCUGUUGGAACAAUAACUGAAUCUGAUGGCAAUGAAUUCGUGAGGUCAGAUCAAGGAGAUCAAAGAGGUGGAAAACAGUAUCUCAUGUACAAACUGCUAGAUCAUCAAACAGUUUGCGUGAAGAUGACAGACAAAAUUCUACUUUAGUCGUGUGCAGAGAUUCAUUAGUUGGUACAGCCUUAACUAUUCAUAAUGCAAUUACAGAAGGUACAUUUUAUAGAGACUUAAUUCCAACAAUAAUUUCUGGUACAUAUACUAUAGGAAGGUUUUCCUUAUGAAUAGUGGAUUGUCGGUUUUGCUCCUACCUCCUAUCUGUUCUUACGAAUUGCCCCUGCCUACUCUUUUGCGUGAUUACCCUGUCCGGGUGUUACAUAAACCCUGGGAAAGCCUCUGUUUCUUUCUCUUUUCUUCUGCAGCUUUCAAGUUUUGAGCUGCUGAACCAAAACAGAGCUCGCAGCGAUGAAGACCGAGACGACAGCGUUUGAAAUCAACCUGGUUAAUCUCAUGGCUGUUGACCUUCAUCAUCAAUUUCCCUCUAACCCUUCUUCAAGGGAGGAAUUAAUGAAGGAAUGUAUUGCAAGGUGAUCAUGCUGUAAGUCAUGAUAGUCAAAGGGAUAUGCGUGCGAGAAAUGUGUAACGAUUGGAUUUUUGCUGCCGCUUUAACUGAAAGUUCUUUCCCCUGAGAAAUGGUAACUUGAUAACCUUUUUUUCUACAUUCUAUGACUUAAGAAGAAAGGAAAACAAUUCUACUCGAUAUAGCUGAUGCGAUUGAAUUUUGUUUAUGAAUUUUCUUAAUGAAUCUUGCUUAUUAUACUUGGCCACACGUCUUGCAAAACAACAUUUGUGUACUUGCAAACAUGGAAGAUCCAAUUGGCUGACUUUUCAAGAAACACUUAGGUGAGGUGGGGUCUAUAAGAAUAGAGAUUCUGGCUUUUGAUAUUCUGAAACAAGAAUACCCGAUAGUAUGGACAUGUGUGAUAGACAAUCUAUAAUCUUUACUGAGUAUCUGUUGCCAUGUUGUCAUCCUGAGUGGGUUUUUGGAAUGGGAGGUGGGAGACCGUCAAGAGCAAAUUGGAGGUACAAGCCAUACUAGAGAUGUGCCUCUCAAUUUGAAUUAGAUCUUUUGUAAAAAUUGUCGUGGAGGGUUUGUUAAUUGAAUUUUAUACCUAUUCUUGGUUAUAAUAUUUUCUUCAUCUUCUAAAUUUCUUCAUUUCAAACAGUUUCAAUUGUUAUUAAGAGUGAGUAAAUCAAAUUGUUAUGAUCUA